GUAUGGCUCAGUGGUAGAGCACAUACUUAGCAUGUAUAAGGACUUUGGUUCAAUUCCUAGCAC
rnacentral:tRNA from 1 species